AUUGAACGCUGGCGGCAGGCCUAACACAUGCAAGUCGAACGAGUGGCGGACGGGUGAGUAAUGUCUGGGAAACUGCCUGAUGGAUGGGGAUCACUACUGGACACGGUAGCUAAUACCGCAUACCAUCGGAUGUGCCCAGAUGGGAUUAGCUUGUAGGUGGGGUAAUGGCUCACCUAGGCGACGAUCCCUAGCUGGUCUGAGAGGAUGACCAGCCACAAUGGAACUGAGACACGGUCCAGACGCGUACGGGAGGCAGCAGUGGGGAAUAGUGCACAAUGGGCGCAAGCCUGAUGCAGCCAUGCCGCGUGUAUGAAGAAGGCCUUCGGGUUGUAAAGUACUUUCAGCGGGGAGGCGUUACCCGCAGAAGAAGCACCGGCUAACUCCGUGCCAGCAGCCGCGGUAAUUC
rnacentral:rRNA from 1 species